CCAUUUAACUGUCAGUCGAAAAUUUUGUUGUUUUUCUAUUAUUAAAAAAAACAAUUCUCUACUAAAAGCCAUUUUCCCACGUUUAACUUAAAGAAAAGGUUUCAAGUAUUUAAUUUUGUGAAAAAGCUUUUAUGUUGGUAUUGGCACGUGUGACACUUGAGACAUUGUGUGGUAAAUUCAGACGAUAAGUGCGGUGAGGGAGGUCCGUGAUAUUUUAACUCUGCCACCCACGACCCUUGAAGAAGAGGAGGAGAAAAAGGGGGCCAGUGAAAGUGCAUUUUAGGGCGAACGAAGCAAGAGGCUAAUAGCACCGUGAAAAUGUACAAGAGGGUUUACUUCCUAGAAGCCAUAAACUCUUAAGAAUCAAGAUAUCGACAGGAUUGGUUUCCCAUUAAGACUUGCCUUAUAAAGAGAAGAGAUUGAAAAUUGGAUAAACUAAAUAAACAAAAGCUUGGAACAAUUCGAAAAAUUGUAUUUUAUUAUCAAAGAAAGAAGGUUAGUUUUUUUUUUUUUUUCUUUGGGAGUAGGAAAAAGCAAAUCACUCACCAAAAAAUCGACAAUGAAGAUAAGGUAGCAACAACUGGCAGCGUACACAAUAUCCUUCUAUCCUUGUCGACACUAUAGGAGGCACUCUCAAGAAUUUUCAGAUAGUACAUGAAUCACCACUAGAUGAUGAAUCUCAUUGAACGAGGAACUAAAAUUCUCGAUUCUAAUCGUGUGGAUUCUGGUUGAAUGAUGGUGAAAUAUCCUCGCAAAUGUGAAUCGUGGAAGUAACUAUUAAUACCCAUCAAUAAAGAGACAAAACCGAGCGUUAGAGAGAGAGAAAGAGAACGAGAUUAAAAAUUCAUCGAGAGAAUAAUCAUUCUUUCCGACACAAAUCUAUGAAUAUUUUU